AUUGAACGCUGGCGGCAGGCUUAACACAUGCAAGUCGAGCGGGGGAAGGUAGCUUGCUACCGGACCUAGCGGCGGACGGGUGAGUAAUGCUUAGGAAUCUGCCUAUUAGUGGGGGACAACAUCUCGAAAGGGAUGCUAAUACCGCAUACGUCCUACGGGAGAAAGCAGGGGAUCUUCGGACCUUGCGCUAAUAGAUGAGCCUAAGUCGGAUUAGCUAGUUGGUGGGGUAAAGGCCUACCAAGGCGACGAUCUGUAGCGGGCCUGAGAGGAUGAUCCGCCACACUGGGACUGAGACACGGCCCAGACUACUACGGGAGGCAGCAGUGGGGAAUAUUGGACAAUGGGGGGAACCCUGAUCCAGCCAUGCCGCGUGUGUGAAGAAGGCCUUAUGGUUGUAAAGCACUUUAAGCGAGGAGGAGGCUACUCUAGUUAAUACCUAGGGAUAGUGGACGUUACUCGCAGAAUAAGCACCGGCUAACUCUGUGCCAGCAGCCGCCGUAA
rnacentral:rRNA from 1 species